UACAACUGACUAUAAUGCAUAGGCUGUGGAGAGGAGCCAGGCCGCGAUUACCUGGAACAGUCAUCCGGAAGGAUCGGUCAUCAACUAGGAGACAAAAGACCCACAGCAUAGCAAACAGGACUGGCAAAGGCUAUCCCAGGAGAACCACAGAUUAUUACCAUUUAUACACCAUUAGCAUACUCUGCAGCUCAUCACAAUAAGAAACAAACACAAAUAAUAAGACACAAGACUUUGUUUUCUGUUUUUAAAAACAGCAAAAAAUGUAGGGGAGCCAUUAAAUAUAUAUGUGUUCUCAUACAUCUUUGCUUCAGUUACACCAAACAGCCCCUCUUGGGACCCCAGGUCCCGUGAGAUUCUGCUCGCAUGAGGCAUCUUUUUUGCAGAAAAUACAUGUAAGUUGCAAUGCAAUGCGGCUAGGAUGCACAGGGAGACUGCGCUGAUUAAUUUGAUAAGCGACACUUGUAUAUCUGUGUCUGACUUAGUCUCUGAAUAUGCAUAUGCAAUGCUACGAUGCUGUGUUCUGCUUAGAAAUGCAAUGAUGUAGUGUUUUCUAUGCCAAGUUCUGUUGUGCUUCAUAUACGAAUGCUAGUGGUGUCGCACGGGACCUGUCAGCCCACUUAGUUAUGCCAGGCAACUCCCGCUAUGUGGCGUAUAGAGGCUACAUGUAUGAGGACACAUCUGUAGUUGAGUGCCACAGUUUGUAUAUUGGUCCAACCAGAUUGCAAUGGAAAAAGUGGUUAGUGGAGCUACAUGAUGGCAUGGUAUCAAUUAGGAAAUAAGUUUGAGGGGGCGACAUGGAUGCUGCCCUGACUGCACCCGUUUACAGCCAAAGCACCCCGCUACAUAGAAGGUGGAGUCUUUCUGCUUCAUGUGACAUCAAAACAUGACAUGCCAGGCUGGGUGUGCUAUCACAGAGUGCCUCCGAAUCUUGCUACAGCACUGGGUUACACAACAAUGCCUUUCUUGGGCAUAAAAAAAUAAAUAUGCAAUCACCUUU